AUAUCCCUCAUCAAUUCUAACCAAUCUGGUGGCACACCACCCCUUUCAGCAGUCUUCCAAUAAACACACAAAUGAUAUAAGAGUAUCAGUUCAAUGUAUAUGAUGAAAUUAAUAAAGUUGAAAAAAAAAUACCGCUUACCAUUUCUAUCUCACGUUCCUCUCGUGUCUUAGCACCACCAUUGUGUACUGCUUCACCUUUUCCACCACGCUUGCUUCUUCUAUUAACAGAGUUGGUAGCUGCAAUAUGUGCAGUAGCAUCGAGCUGCCAAUAGGCUUUAAACCCGUCCCGCACAUCUUGAUUCAGACAUAUGGGUUUAUCCUUCUUCAGCCUCCACUUUUUCUUCCACUCAGUCACGUUGCUCGUGUACUGCUUUCUAGCCUGCAAAUUAAAG
rnacentral:lncRNA from 1 species